rnacentral:tmRNA from 1 species
GGGGUUGACAGGCUUUCGAUAGCCUGCAGGAAACCAUUUGCUACGUGCCGGAGGCCGGCAAGGACAACCGUCAUCAACCUUGCCACAAGAACGAACGCCAACACCGUUUCUUCUUCCCGUUUCACCCUCGCAGCGUGAAACCCGAUUCUGACCCCAUUGCCGAUUAACAGGCCAGAAUCGGAAAACUUUGAAUCGGACUGGUCAGACAGUCGGACGAUGGAUUCGCCCGGCCAGCAUAUGAACAUCGUCUACAAGCCGUGCAGGUUCGCCGAACGCACCCUGUCCACGGAUGAUCUUCCCCACGCAAGUGGGGAUCAGCCGCGUCGGAUACGCACGUGACAGCAAGCAAAGGCUGACAGCAGGCUAGACCCGAGUUCGAUUCUCGGCAGCUCCACGA